AUGGUUGUUGUACAUUAAUAAGGAAUCUUGUUAGAAGCAAGAGCGGUCCCGCCGCCGUAAUGAGGAGUUAAGACGAUAGACCACUGGUGAAAACUGGGAAGGUGUUAAGACGAUGAAUCUAAGCCGGAAUACUUGCCAUUAUCUUA
rnacentral:ncRNA from 1 species